rnacentral:rRNA from 1 species
UACGAGGGGUGCGAGCGUUGUCCGGAAUCACUGGGCGUAAAGGGUCCGUAGGCGUUUCAACAAGUCAUUUGUUAAAGACACCGGCUUAACCGGUGGAGUGCAUUUGAAACUUUUGAAAUAGAGUAUAGGAGAGGAAAGUGGAAUUCCUGGUGUAGCGGUGACAUGCGUAGAUAUCAGGAGGAACACCAAUGGCGAAGGCAACUUUCUGGCCUAUCACUGACGCUGAGGGACGAAAGCGUGGGGAGCGAACAGG